rnacentral:rRNA from 1 species
GAUGAACGCUAGCGGCAGGCCUAACACAUGCAAGUCGAGGGGUAACGAUGUCUUCGGACAGGCGACGACCGGCGCACGGGUGAGUAUCGCGUUUGUAACCUACCUCUAACUGGAGCAUAGCCCGAAGAAAUUCGGAUUAAUACUCCAUAAUACUAUGAACUGGCAUCUUUUUAUAGUUAAAGCUCCGGCGGUUAGAGAUGGGCAUGCGUGACAUUAGUUUGUUGGUGAGGUAAGAGCUCACCAAGACUACGAUGUCUAGGGGGUCUGAGAGGAUGGUCCCCCACACUGGUACUGAGACACGGACCAGACUCCUACGGGAGGCAGCAGUGAGGAAUAUUGGUCAAUGGGCGCAAGCCUGAACCAGCCAUGCCGCGUGAAGGAUGACGGCGCUAUGCGUUGUAAACUUCUUUUGUACAGGAAGAAACACUUCUACGUGUAGAAGCUUGACGGUACUGUACGAAUAAGCAUCGGCUAACUCCGUG